rnacentral:rRNA from 1 species
CACCUAACUAAUUUUUUAUAUAUACAUCAACCCUUCCCCCCCAUUGAAUGAAUUUAUAAAUCUAUAAAAGCCACUAUGCCUAAACUAGUAAUAAGAAUAUGAAAUUCUCCUUAAUGUAAGCCUAAGCCGUAAUAGACACGCCAACGGCAAUUAAAGUUAAUAAACCCACUGUAAUAACCACCUUAAUAAAACUUAUAGCAAUAAACGUUAACCUAACACAAGAACAUUCAAGGAAAGAUUAAAAGGGGAAGAAGGAACUCGGCAAAUUUUAAUCCCGCCUGUUUACCAAAAACAUCGCCUCUUGAUAAACUAUAAGAGGUCCAGCCUGCCCAAUGACUUCUUAAAUGGCCGCGGUAUCCUAACCGUGCUAAGGUAGCACAAUAACUUGUUCUUUAAAUGAGGACUUGUAUGAAUGGCAUCACGAGGAUUACACUGUCUCCUCCCCCCAAUCAGUGAAACUGACCUCCCUGUGAAAAGGCAGGGAUUAUACUAUAAGACGAGAAGACCCCAUGGAGCUUUAGACUUAAAGCACAUCUAACCCUCACUCCAUUAAAACCUUAGGUUCCUGACUUCUAGUCUUAGGUUGGGGCGACCGUGGAGUAUAACCUAACCUCCAUGCUGAACGGACAAAUCCUAAUCUAAGAGUUACAACUCCAAGAAUCAAAAAACUGACAGCUACUGAUCCAAAAUUUGAUCAACGAACCAAGUUACCCUGGGGAUAACAGCGCUAUCUACCUCAAGAGUUCAUAUCGACAGGUGGGUUUACGACCUCGAUGUUGGAUCGGGGUAUCCCUGUGGUGCAGCCGCUACAUAA